AUUGAACGCUGGCGGCAUGCCUUACACAUGCAAGUCGAACGGCAGCGGAGACCUCGGUCCGCCGGCGAGUGGCGAACGGGUGAGUAAUGUAUCGGAACGUACCAUUGAGUGGGGAUAACGUAGCGAAAGUUACGCUAAUACCGCAUAUUCUCUCCGGAGGAAAGCAGGGGACCGCAAGGCCUUGCGCUCUUUGAGCGGCCGAUAUCAGAUUAGCUAGUUGGGGAGGUAAAGGCUCACCAAGGCGACGAACUGUGGCGGGUCUGGGAGGAUGAUCCGCCACACUGGACCUGCGACACGGUCCAGACUCCUACGGGAGGCAGCAGUGGGGAAUUUUGGACAAUGGGGCAACCCUGAUCCAGCCAUGCCGCGUGAGUGAAGAAGGCCUUCGGGUUGUAAAGCUCUUUCGGCCGGGAAAAAAUCGCAUGGGCUAAUACCCUGUGUGGAUGAUGGUACCGGAAUAAGAAGCACCGGCUAACUACGUGCCAGCCGCCGCCGUAA
rnacentral:rRNA from 1 species